CUUUCACUCACCAAUUAAAGUCUCUUUACUGAAAAUUAAAUUUAGUCUCCGAUCACUACACUUAUUGAGUUAGAAUUAAUGUUCUUCACUAGUAUCAAAAUAAUCCAAACCAUCAUACUCUUGUUAUGCACUCUGAUCUAAAUUUAUCGAAUUAUGUAGGUUUAUCAAAAAAAUUUUGAUAAGAAUACCACUAUACAUUAGAAUCUAAAAAAGAUUUAAUCUUUCAAAUUUUUAGAUAGAACUAAAGUAAAACUUUGAGUUUCUUUAUCUUUAUUAUGCCUCAAGCAUACCAUAUCAAAUUUAAAUCUUGAUCCACUUUCUAUGUUCGAAAUCAUUACAUAAGCUUCCACUGCUCGUCUAGAACCCAAUACAUCUAGAAUAAUUUGAAAUGAGUUAAUCUUGAAUUUACCUAACAAUCAAUGGGACAAUUCUAAAUCAACAUUUUUUUAUAAAAAGAUCAGAUCUAAUCUCAAAUAAAUUAAAAGAUCUCAAAUCAAUAUCUCAAUGAGUAGAAUCAAUCUGAUUAUUUCUCAUAAAGCUUCUUUCACCUUGAUCCUUAGCACAUAUCGACAAAUCUAGUUGUAAUCC
rnacentral:lncRNA from 1 species